rnacentral:rRNA from 1 species
AGUGAACGCUGGCGGUGGGCUUAACACAUGCAAGUCGAACGGAAACACAGUUAGAGCUUGCUCUUAUCGGUUGCGGGUGGCGGACGGGUGAGGAAUACAUUCGGCUCUACUUUUUCGGGUAGGAUUACGUAGGGAGACUUACUCUCAGAUCGCAUACGAGCUACGGGUGCAAGCCGGGGAGCUUCUGACCUUGCGCGAUUGUAUGAGCCGAUGUCGGAUUAGCUAGUUGGCCGGGUAAAGGCCGACCCAGGCGGCGAUCCGUAGCUGGUCUGAGAGGAUGAUCAGCCACACUGGAACUUAGACACGGUCCAGACUCCUACGGGAGGCAGCAGUGGGGAAUAUUGGACAAUGGGCGCAAGCCUUGUCCAGUCAUACCGCGUGUGUGAAGAAGGCCUUCGGGUGGUAAAGCCCUUUUGUUGGGAAAGAAAAGCAGCAGGUUAAUACCCCGCGGUUCUGACGGUACCUAAAGAAUAAGCACCGGCUAACUACGUG